rnacentral:rRNA from 1 species
GACAGAGGGGGCAAGCGUUGCUCGGAAUUACUGGGCGUAAAGCGCACGUAGGCGGCUUUGUAAGUUAGAGGUGAAAGCCCGGGGCUCAACUCCGGAAUUGCCUUUAAGACUGCAUCGCUAGAAUUGUGGAGAGGUAAGUGGAAUUCCGAGUGUAGAGGUGAAAUUCGUAGAUAUUCGGAAGAACACCAGUGGCGAAGGCGACUUACUGGACACAUAUUGACGCUGAGGUGCGAAAGCGUGGGGAGCAAACAGG